UACGAAGGGGGCUAGCGUUGCUCGGAAUUACUGGGCGUAAAGGGCGCGUAGGCGGAUACUUAAGUCGGGGGUGAAAGCCCGGGGCUCAACCUCGGAAUUGCCUUCGAUACUGGGUAUCUUGAGUUCGGGAGAGGUGAGUGGAAUGCCGAGUGUAGAGGUGAAAUUCGUAGAUAUUCGGCGGAACACCAGUGGCGAAGGCGACUCACUGGCCCGAUACUGACGCUGAUGCGCGAAAGCGUGGGGAGCAAACAGG
rnacentral:rRNA from 1 species